rfam:Nelumbo nucifera unplaced genomic scaffold scaffold00189, whole genome shotgun sequence
ACAUUAUCUUUUACAGUGUUAAAAUAUAAUGU